CGCUGGCGGCGCGCCUAACACAUGCAAGUCGAACGAGCGAGAGAUAGCUUGCUUUCUCGAGCGAGUGGCGAACGGGUGAGUAACGCGUGAGGAACCUGCCUCAAAGAGGGGGACAACAGUUGGAAACGACUGCUAAUACCGCAUAAGCCCACGACCCGGCAUCGGGUAGAGGGAAAAGGAGCAAUCCGCUUUGAGAUGGCCUCGCGUCCGAUUAGCUAGUUGGUGAGGUAAUGGCCCACCAAGGCGACGAUCGGUAGCCGGACUGAGAGGUUGAACGGCCACAUUGGGACUGAGACACGGCCCAGACUCCUACGGGAGGCAGCAGUGGGGAAUAUUGCACAAUGGGGGAAACCCUGAUGCAGCGACGCCGCGUGGAGGAAGAAGGUCUUCGGAUUGUAAACUCCUGUUGUUGAGGAAGAUAAUGACGGUACUCAACAAGGAAGUGACGGCUAACUACGUGCCAGCAGCCGCGGUAAAACGUAGGUCACAAGCGUUGUCCGGAAUUACUGGGUGUAAAGGGAGCGCAGGCGGGAAGACAAGUUGGAAGUGAAAUCCAUGGGCUCAACCCAUGAACUGCUUUCAAAACUGUUUUUCUUGAGUAGUGCAGAGGUAGGCGGAAUUCCCGGUGUAGCGGUGGAAUGCGUAGAUAUCGGGAGGAACACCAGUGGCGAAGGCGGCCUACUGGGCACCAACUGACGCUGAGGCUCGAAAGUGUGGGUAGCAAACAGGAUUAGAUACCCUGGUAGUCCACACUGUAAACGAUGAUUACUAGGUGUUGGAGGAUUGACCCCUUCAGUGCCGCAGUUAACACAAUAAGUAAUCCACCUGGGGAGUACGACCGCAAGGUUGCAACUCAAAGGAAUUGACGG
rnacentral:rRNA from 1 species